AUUGAACGCUGGCGGAAUGCUUUACACAUGCAAGUCGAACGGCAGCACGGGAGCUUGCUCCUGGUGGCGAGUGGCGAACGGGUGAGUAACAUAUCGGAACGUAUCCAAUAAUGGGGGAUAACUAGUCGAAAGAUUAGCUAAUACCGCAUACGCCCUGAGGGGGAAAGCUGGGGAUCUUCGGACCUAGCGUUUAAUGGAGCGGCCGAUAUCUGAUUAGCUAGUAGGUGAGGUAAAAGCUCACCUAGGCGACGAUCAGUAGCUGGUCUGAGAGGACGACCAGCCACACUGGAACUGAGACACGGUCCAGACUCCUACGGGAGGCAGCAGUGGGGAAUUUUGGACAAUGGGCGCAAGCCUGAUCCAGC
rnacentral:rRNA from 1 species